GGAUGUGAGGGCGAUCUGGCUGCAACAUCUGUCACCCCACUGAUCACCAGGGUUGAUUCGGCUGAUCUGACUGGCUAGGCGGGUGUCCCCUUCCUCCCUCACUGCUCUAUGUGUGUCCCUCCCUGAAGCUGUGCGCUCCGCUUGGUCGAAGAUGACAACCUUCCCUGAUAGAGGAGGACCGUUCUUCGAUCAAGGGUAUACGAGUUGCUGUGCUCCCCUGCUAGAACCUCCAAACAAGCUCUCAAGAUAAUAAUAGAUCACAGCAGUAGAUCUGCCAUGGUCAA
rnacentral:snRNA from 1 species